GACCUUCAAUCCCUGUAGGAGAGUGUGAUUUAUUACCUCGGCCUCACCAUUAGCCCAUGGAUGUCCUAUUGAAGUGAAGUGCUGGGCAAUACCGUAGCCUUGACAGAACUCGACGAACUUGGAGCCUAAAAACUGAUGUCCAUUGUCGGUAAUCAGCACUCGCAAGAGACCAAACCUGCAGAUUAUAAAUUUUCAGAUGAAAUCAGUCAUCUUGGCUUCAAUGAUCUUGGCAAGGGGCUCGACUUCACCCAUUUGGUGAAAUAAUUGAUGGCCACCAACAAAAACUUCCUCUGAUCUGAUGCUGGUGGAAAAGGACCUAAGAUAUUCAUCCCCCACCAAGUGAAUGGCUAGGGAGCAACUAUCAGAGCCAAUGGGACAGGUGACUGAUGCUGAACAUUUGCAUUCCACUAUCAUCGAUCACUCCAUCUGACAAAGUCGGAUGCGUCAUUCUGUAUGGUAGGGCAGUAGUAUCCCUACCGAAGGAUCUUAUAGGAUAAUGACUUGCCUCCCAAGUGACUUCCAUAUACCCCUUCAUGCAUCUCUCGAAGAGCAUAUUUAGCUUCAGAAGGACGAAGGCACCUGAGAAGCAGUAGCGACAAGGAUCAUUUGUACAAUUUGUCUUCAUAGAUGAUGUAAUGAGAGGCCUAAUAUCUGAUCUUUCAGGCUUCCUCAGAGUCAGCAAGUAUUAUCCUUUCUUGCAAAAACUGGAUGAAGGGAUCCAUCCAACAUGAUUCAUCAUCAAUCUGCAAAUCGAGAGUGGCUCUUCGAUGUUGGGCUUUUUCAAAACUUCAAAGAAAGUUUUAUAUGGAAGAUCCUUUGGAGUUGAUGUCACUAAUUUAGAUAAUAGGUCCGCCCUUGAAUUUUCAAAUCGGGGCACUUGUCGACCAUCAAAACCACCAAAUUUCGAAGUUAGGUCUUUCACCUUUAGAAGCUAUUUUUCAUAUUCUCCUCUCGGGCUUCAAAAUCUCCUUUUACUUGACCAACCAUCAGUUGUGAAUCGAUGCAGAUCCUUAAUUUUUGCACUCGAAGCUUCUUUGCAAUUCUAAAUCUGGCAAUAAGGGUUUCGUAUUCAGCUUCAUUGUUAGUUGCUGAAAAAUCGAAUCUAAGGGCGUAUUCAGCAACAACUCCUUCCAAUCUGAGAAGUAUUAGACUUACUCCCAACCCCAUAGAAUUUGAGG
rnacentral:lncRNA from 1 species